rnacentral:rRNA from 1 species
AACUCAUCUUCGGGGGUAGAGCACUGUUUCGGCUAGGGGGCCAUCCCGGCUUACCAACCCGAUGCAAACUACGAAUACCGAAGAAUGUUAUCACGGGAGACACACGGCGGGUGCUAACGUCCGUCGUGAAGAGGGAAACAACCCAGACCGCCAGCUAAGGUCCCAAAGUCAUGGUUAAGUGGGAAACGAUGUGGGAAGGCACAGACAGCCAGGAUGUUGGCUUAGAAGCAGCCAUCAUUUAAAGAAAGCGUAAUAGCUCACUGGUCGAGUCGGCCUGCGCGGAAGAUGUAACGGGGCUAAACCAUGCACCGAAGCUGCGGCAGCGACACUAUGUGUUGUUGGGUAGGGGAGCGUUCUGUAAGCCUGUGAAGGUGUGCUGUGAGGCAUGCUGGAGGUAUCAGAAGUGCGAAUGCUGACAUAAGUAACGAUAAAGCGGGUGAAAAGCCCGCUCGCCGGAAGACCAAGGGUUCCUGUCCAACGUUAAUCGGGGCAGGGUGAGUCGACCCCUAAGGCGAGGCCGAAAGGCGUAGUCGAUGGGAAACAGGUUAAUAUUCCUGUACUUGGUGUUACUGCGAAGGGGGGACGGAGAAGGCUAUGUUGGCCGGGCGACGGUUGUCCCGGUUUAAGCGUGUAGGUGUGUGUUCCAGGUAAAUCCGGUUCACUUUAACACUGAGGCGUGAUGACGAGGCACUACGGUGCUGAAGUAACAAAUGCCCUGCUUCCAGGAAAA